AUGCACCAAAAAACCUGUAUUUAUUGGAAACCUUCAGAAGUGGCACAAGGGGAAUUAUUUUUACCAGGCAUUAACACAGGCUGUGACAAGAGCACUUUGACAAAAUGGGGAGCUGUCAGUACCCACGUCACCAAUCACCACAAACAGCAAGGUCCUCCAGACGAGCGGGACAGCCAGACAGUCACUGGACCUCAGCUAGGAAAAGGACAGGAAGGCAGAGAGCCUCCCAAAGCUGAUCCAUAAUGCAGUCCUGCAGAGAGCUUUGCCCAGGCUUGCCUUUUGAAGAAGUUAUUGCUUUGAUGUAUGAGGGAACACAUGAAACAGUGAGGGGAGCGAGGAGUAAUUGCGUUGUGUCUACGGGGGGACAGUGUUUAGCCCACACAAUGACUUCAAUCUCUUAGCUUCUCAGCCAAAUGGACACUGAAUCAUACUCUAACUGUGACAGAGGUAUCUGGACAGAGUGAUUCCCUUUCACAGGCCAAAGUUUAAUCUCUAGAUUGAGAUGCGUAAUAAAACUGUCGAUUGUUUUGUUUCCCCUGCAAAUGAUGGCGGGAGUAUGGCGACUGUUUCUGAUGAGAUGGGUGAACGGGGGGCGUUCCUCCUGAUGGGGUAGUUCAGCGCAAGGUCAGGAUGCUUUGUGGUCCUCAUUUUUGGGUCAAAGCCUUUUCAUUUGAUGGCCUGUCCACCACGGAAGUGCUGAAUGUGACUUGAAUGUCAAUAGUUCCUAGUGGUGAGGACAGAAAAAAUAACUAUUCCACUAAACUGCACUUGAAGAACAUGAAUGGAAUAUUGACACUGUAAGAAAAAAAAAAUCCUUACAAAAACUGAAAAGUACUUGUAAUUUUCUACCAGGAUAUUAUCCAUUUAGUUUACAGACAUUUCAUUUAAUACUAAAACACAACACAAUGCAUAAUUCAAAAUAUGGAUAAAACACCUGUGAAAUUUCAAUAAAAAAAAAUAAAAUAAAAAAUCCUUCAUAUUAAUGCAGUACAUUGUGCCCUAUUUUUUUUUUUUUUACAGACUUUUCUUAGAGUGCUUUUUUU
ensembl:lncRNA